GUGCAUGACAUUCUCAAUCAUCACAGCCUCUACUUCUAAUCAAACCACAAG
rnacentral:sRNA from 1 species